GAGAGGCUGCCUGUACUGAGCUCAGGCGCUGGGCGCUGGCAGGAAGAUACUCGCUCACUCACUGCAGAGAGUUCGAGUCCCGGAGCCCAGGAGAGCGAAAGAAGUCUCCUAAACUCACUGAAGACAAGUGAUGCCUUGAAGCAGCCGAGCUGGGUCGCCGUCACCCGGGGGAAUAUCCAGUUCGUUGGGAGGUGGAUUGUGCAGCCAGGAACUCCUCAGAAUGAAGAAAAGCUGGAGCUCCCUCUGUGUUGGCAGCGUGGAGAGACACCGAGAUUCCCCGGACAUGCUGACUCCGUGCCAGCCCUCCACAUUCGGCCUGGUCAAGCGACGAUCAUCUGGAACCAUGCUGCUCCCUCCGUUGUCGUGGCGACAGUCCAGACUGUCCGACGGAUAUCGGACAUUGAGGGAAGACUCGGGGCUGAGGAUAAGUGUUCCUGUUCAGGGGGAACCUCAACUGCAGGACGCCGGCAAAAGG